UACGGAGGGUGCGAGCGUUGUCCGGAAUCACUGGGCGUAAAGGGCGCGUAGGCGGGCGCGAACGCCCGGGGUGAAAUCUCUCGGCUCAACCGGGAGGCUGCUCCGGGUACGGCGCGCCUGGAGGGAGGCAGGGGCCCGCGGAACUUCCGGUGGAGCGGUGAAAUGCGUUGAUAUCGGAAGGAACGCCGGUGGCGAAAGCGGCGGGCUGGACCUCUUCUGACGCUGAGGCGCGAAAGCCAGGGGAGCGAACGGG
rnacentral:rRNA from 1 species